rnacentral:rRNA from 1 species
UACGGAGGGUGCAAGCGUUAUCCGGAUUCACUGGGCUUAAAGGGUGCGUAGGCGGGCAGGUAAGUCCGUGGUGAAAUCUCUGAGCUUAACUCAGAAACUGCCAUGGAUACUAUUUGUCUUGAAUAUUGUGGAGGUAAGCGGAAUAUGUCAUGUAGCGGUGAAAUGCUUAGAUAUGACAUAGAACACCAAUUGCGAAGGCAGCUUACUACACAGUUAUUGACGCUGAGGCACGAAAGCGUGGGGAUCAAACAGG